GCCCCUGGUAGAAGCAAAAAUGAGUGGAAUGACCUACACUUGUCAAUUUGUUGCAGCUUGGAAAUUAAAAUUGAAUGUCCCAGAAAUCUUAGCGUAACCAUCAAAAACAUAACUGGCUACACCGUGUUGUAUAAGGAAGGACACAUAAAUCGGCGUCCAUGCGCAUGAAGGCAUAACAGCUAGCUAGCUAACCUGAAAAAUGUCCUCCAUGUCUGCUGCCAGCGUCGGGCCAUUGAGGGCCAUUGAGGGCACAGAGAAGAAACCACUGAAACCCUGUUGUGCGUGCCCUGAGACGAAGAAAGUCAGGGAUGUUUGCAUCAUUGAGAAGGGUGAAGAAAGUUGCACAGAUCUCAUCGAGGCACAUAAGGAUUGUAUGAGGGCGCUUGGAUUCAAGAUUUAAUAUAACUCCAUAUAAUAAGUGGUCGGAAUUGUGUACAGAUCCUUGCGAAAUGAGGGCGUGCAUUAUCAUGCUGAAACAUGAGUGUGCUGUUGGUGGCCAGCUGUCCGGAAUGAGACCAGGAAUAUUUCUUGUUUGUAUUUAUACUGCAACCUGAAUGGAAGAUGUGAUCUCUGCAAGGAUGGUAUUCCACUGAGUGAAAUGUGUUGGCUUAAUGCUCAGAUUUUCUGAAUGAUGUGAAUCUUGUUCUGCUGAUUAGAAUUAAAUAUAUGUCCUAUGCAAAA